rnacentral:rRNA from 1 species
CCUACGGGGGGCAGCAGUGGGGGAUAUUGCACAAUGGGGGGAACCCUGAUGCAGCGACGCCGCGUGGGUGAAGGAGUAUUUCGGUAUGUAAAGCCCUAUCGGCAGGGAAGAAUUUAGACGGUACCUGACUAAGAAGCCCCGGCUAACUACGUGCCAGCAGCCGCGGUAAUACGUAGGGGGCAAGCGUUAUCCGGAUUCACUGGGUGUAAAGGGAGCGUAGACGGCCAGGCAAGCCUGGAGUGAAAGCCCGGGGCCCAACCCCGGGACUGCUCUGGGAACUGUCCGGCUGGAGGGCGGGAGGGGCAGGCGGAAUUCCUGGGGUAGCGGUGAAAUGCGGAGAUAUCAGGAGGAACACCGGCGGCGAAGGCGGCCUGCUGGACCGCGACUGACGUUGAGGCUCGAAAGCGUGGGGAGCAAACAGGAUUAGAUACCCGAGUAGUC